AUGCUUUCACAACUUGACUUCAAAAUAUUUGGUUUGGAGACCAUCAAAGAUCAAUAUGUGCAUGAUGCUGAUUUUAAAGAUGUAAUGCAGAAUUGUAAAGAAGGAAGAAUGUGGAACAAGUUUGUCGUUAACGAUGGAUUUGUGUUUCGUGCUAACAAGCUAUGCAUUCCAGCUAGCUCCGUUCAUCUUUUGUUGUUGCAGGAGGCGCAUGGAGGAGGAUUAAUGGGACACUUUGGCGUGAAGAAGACAGAGGAUGUACUUGCUACACAUUUCUUUUGGCCAAAGAUGAGACGGGAUGUUGAGCGUUUUAUUGCUCGCUGCACUACAUGUCAAAAAGCUAAGUCACGACUCAAUCCUCAUGGUUUAUAUAUGCCUUUGCCUGUACCUAGUGUUCCUUGGGAGGAUAUAUCUAUGGACUUUGUUUUAGGUUUACCUCGAACAAAGAAGGGGAGGGAUAGCAUAUUUGUUGUCGUGGAUAGAUUCUCAAAAAUGGCACACUUUAUACCAUGUCAUAAAAGCGUUGAUGCUGUUAAUGUUGUUGAUUUGUUCUUUCGUGAAAUUAUUCGCUUGCAUGGUGUGCCAAAUACUGUUGUUUCAGAUCGUGAUACUAAAUUUCUUAGCCACUUUUGGAGAUGUUUAUGGGCUAAGUUGGGGACUAAACUGCUUUUUAGUACUACUUGUCACCCCCAAACUGAUGGACAAACUGAAGUAGUCAAUAGAACAUUGUCUACUGUGCUUAGGGCUGUUUUGAAGAGUAAUAAGAAAAUAUGGGAGGAAUGCUUGCCUCAUAUUGAAUUUUCUUAUAAUCGUUCAUUGCAUUCUACUACUAAGAUGUGCCCUUUUGAAGUUGUGUAUGGUUUCCUACCUCGUGCACCUAUUGAUUUGUUGCCUCUUCCAUCUUCGGAGAAGGUUAAUUUUGAUGCUAAACAACGUGCUGAAUUGAUUUUUAAAAUGCAUGAAUUAACUAAGGAAAACAUUGAGCGUAUGAAUGCCAAAUAUAAACUUGCUGGAGAUAAGGGUAGAAAACAUGUUGUGUUUCCACCUGGAGAUCUUGUUUGGUUACAUUUGCGUAAGGAUAGAUUUCCUGAUUUGCGCAAAUCAAAGCUCAUGCCACGUGCUGAUGGUCCCUUUAAGGUGUUAGAGAAAAUAAAUGAUAAUGCAUAUAAACUUGAGUUGCCUGUAGAUUUUGGGGUUAGUCCCACUUUUAACAUUGCAGAUUUGAAGCCUUAUUUGGGUGAGGAAGAUGAGCUUCCGUCGAGGACGACUUCAUUUCAAGAAGGGGAGGAUGAUGAGGACAUCAAUACCAUUGUUACACCCACAGCCCCUGCUGCUAUACAUACUGGACCAAUUACUAGAGCUCGCGCACGCCAACUAAAUUACCAGGGCCUAGCUUGGAGAAGGAUGAACAUUGGAGCAAGAAAAAGCAUAGAGAUGAUGGCAUGCGCAAGGGGAACAAGAACGGAGUUACAAGUGAUGAUUUCAGGUCUUUGA
rnacentral:rRNA from 1 species